UUAAUACUGGAUAGAUCAAAGAUACUGGAAUGUUCUCUGGUCCAAAACUCCGGUGCCCAAGGAUGGGUCUGCGGCCUAUCAGGUUGUAGUGGGUGUAACGUACCUACUAGCCUACGACGGGUAAGGGUUGUGAGAGCAAGAUCCCUGAGAUGGAUUCUGAGACAUGAAUCCAGGCCCUACGGGGUGCAACAGGCGCGAAAACUUUACACUGCGGGAAACCGCGAUAAGGGGACCCCGAGUGCCAGCACCUAGUGCUGGCUGUCCCGCUGUCCAAACAACAGUGGUUAGCAAGGGCCGGGCAAGACCGGUGCCAGCCGCCGCGGUAACACCGGCGGCCCGAGUGGUAGCCGCUAUUAUUGGGUUUAAAGGGUCCGUAGCCGGCUUAUUAAGUCUCUUGGGAAAUCUGGCGGCUCAAUCGUCAGGCGUUCA
rnacentral:rRNA from 1 species